UGAUGAAGCCGUGUAUUCUCUCUGAGUUAUUAAUAGUUGGACAGCUUUUAUGGACAGAUUUCUCAUGAAUUCACUUAAGUAUUGAAAGAUGAAUCUCUUGACUAUAAGAAUAUGUCUUUGCAAGGCUGAGAUAAAAUGGAGAGAAUAAGUUUUCUUUAAGUUGACCACCUGUAUGGGGGAAUGGUAGCCAGGGAAAAUAAACUGGACUAUAGAUAAAAACAGAUGUAAAAUGUGGGACUGAACACACGGAUACCUUAAGCACUAGCCUUUCCUUACUCCUUUCCCUUCUGCCUCCAUCUCAAUUUCUGGUGCAGGUGAAGCCCAGGAGGAACCGCUAACAACUUUUACAGCUGCUUCAGCAUCUUUUAACAUCAGGACAGAGAAUGUUGAAAUUGCAUUUUCUUGGGAUUUUUAUACUGGAGAGAAUAAAUCAUGUUGCUUUGCAAAAAAUAAACAAUCACAUAACACAGCCAGGCUGAAAAAGGAUCCUCCAAGGCACCAAUGGCCUAUAAUUGGACCUUGAAGAAAGUCAAGCACAUUGUUUCCUGACCCCCUAAAACCUCAGAGUGAAAAGACAACUCAAGGCUGAGGUGGAUGCAGUCUUCAGGUAAUAAUAGAUUUGACAAGCUUUGAUUUGGGGUGAACUCAGCUGCAGUGGAUGAUGGGCUACAGAGGACAAGAUUCAGGAUGGAGAGGACUAUGAAGAAAAGUGGUCAGUUAUGGGGCUAGCCCCAUAAGACAAGUGGAUUCUAAGUGCUUUGCCCAAAAGACAAAGCACAGAUAGAAUUCUGGCAAGCAUCCAUGCCUGAGCUCCAGUCUGGCCAGUGGAGUAAUGCAGUGGGGAUUCCAUUCUGCAAGUCAGUGGCAGGUGUCAACCCAACCUAUCUGCUCAUAUGAGGUUGGAGUCCAGCCAGUGAAUUAAUAAAGAUACAGAGGUGAGUCCAGCCAAUUACGAAGAGACCUAGCAAGGUAUGGGAAAGCCACUAGAGCUCUAGCCACUGGGUAGCUUGUGGACCUACAGAAAGGGAGGCAAAUGCUGUAGUUUCCACUGAGGGAAUGGGACUGGGUCUGAGGCUGUUUGUUCAUCAUUCAUUCAUUUGCAUAUUGAUCACCCACGGAAGAACAUGCACUGUACCUGGGCACUAUACACUAUACAUGCACUGGGGCUUUUGUGAGAUGAAGCCAAUUGCCUGUCUCCUAGGCUUUACAGGCAGUGGGAGAAUCAGAAAUGAAAACCAGACAGUGAGAGGAUAGGACCACUAAAUGUUACCAGUAGAAGCUGCAUGGUAUGGAGCAUUUAGAUUCCAGCCAGAGGUUGGGGUAGUAAUGAACAAUGACAAUUUCUGUGCUGUAUGUUGCACUUGGUACCUUUACACAUGAUCUAAUUUAAGUCGUACCAUAGUUGCAUAAAGUAGGCAUUAAUAUUCUCAUUUUACAAAUGGUAAAACGGGGGCUAAGAGGAGUCAGAUCACUACAUUAACAUCACACCAACAGUGGGGUAGGGAUUUGAGUUCAGGUCUCUCUUGGCUCUAAAGCUCAUACUCUCUUAAGUCCAUAACCUCAAAGCCCAUAAAUAUAGAACGCACAUAGCCAGAAACACUCUCCAGAAUCUUUUAGAAUCAUUCUACCUGAAGGCACAAGAAAGAUAACAGAGAUUAGAGCAUGAGACAGAGGAAGAAUUAAAAUAGUGCUUUUAAUAUAAUUUUCAGCAAACGUACAG
rnacentral:lncRNA from 10 species